AUAAACUGAACGCGAAUGAAUAGAAAAUAAGCAAAUGUCACUUAUAAGACACCAAAACAACUAGAAACACGUUUGUUGAAUAUAAAGAAGUUAACGGGUUAAAUAUGAACACCAAAUAUGUGGCAAGGAGUUUUUUUUAAAGAAGCUCAGCAAUUUCCUGUUUAAACUUGGGAAAACAGAGACGUGUCCAGUAACACAGAUGCGUUAAAAACAUGCAAACCAAUUGUCUCCUAACACAUAAAUAUCCCUUAUGAUUUUCUGUAUGGUUCAUUGUAAGAGUUAAAGUGGGUUAAAGAAAACGGUAUGUUCCGCGGGGAAGGAAAGAGACUUAUUUUGAGAGGAGCUGAGGACUGACUGCCCAUGGUGGAUGGGCGGAGCAGCAAGCAUGCGCUGAGCUGGCAGAGCCGGGCUCGUCUGCUGCGCGCGAGGAGAGGGAGAUCACGGGCUGGCUCGGGUCCUCUCAGACGGACGCGGGGAGACCACCUUACCAAACACGUCUCCUUGAGGACUAAAUAGGCGAGAACAGAAAAGAGCAAGAGGGAGAGUGAGAGACAGGGAGAAAUAGAAGAAUAGAAAGCUAUAAGGACAACACCUCCGUUUGUAACCACAGGGAGUCGGCAUCUGGAAACAUAACGAGCGAAGAAGACCCCCCUCGCGACAUCUCUCGGCUCUGUAUCUCCCAGCGCACCCCUCCUAUAGCCUACUCCCUGGAGAACGACCACCCAUUGAACACCCUAAUUGACCAGCGUUGCCAUUAAGCGAUGCACUUUGAAUCCAAGACGAAACCGAACGCGUAAUUUUGAUGCACAUUUUACAACCAGUGAUCUUAUUUUCCAAAACGGAACAGUUUAGACUAUGGAUACAGUUUCGGGUGUUUAGCCUAAAAUGAACGGGUUUCUGGCGACGAGAAAUGAUCUCAUCCCCGGUAACUGACAUCAACACUAUACUAUUAUCUCGUAUUGCUUGUGAAAGAGUCUUGUCGUCUUCGUUUUAUUCCAUUUUCCAUUUUCUUUUUCAAACCAAUGGUCUGGGAACGGACCGCCUCACUCGACACAUACUAUUGUAUUUAGACGUGUCAGCUUCCUUUAGUGCUUUGAACGAGGACAACAUUACAGAAUUGCAAGGGGAAAUUGUCAUCGAGAGGCUUUUGCACAAACAUACGGAGUGGAAAGUUUGUUGCCGGAGAGGGAAUACAUCGGAGACAUCUCGGCCAUAUCCACGGGAUUUUUCCCUAAGUCUCCCCUCAGCCCCUCCCUAUACGUUUCUGUGUGUGUUUUUGUGGAGCCUGAACGAGGAAGGGAAGUGUGAGGUAUGUAUUGAUAGAAAGAGGAGGUGUGAAGUAUGUAUUGAUAGAAAGAGGAGGUGUGAAGUAUGUAUUGAUAGAAAGAGGAAGGGAAGUGUGAGGUAUGUAUUGAUAGAAAGAGGAGGUGUGAUGUAUGUAUUGAUAGAAAGAGGAAGUGUGAGGUAUAUAUUGAUAGAAAGAGGUGUGAGGUAUGUAUUGAUAGAAAGAGGAAGUGUGAGGUAUGUAUUGAUAGAAAGAGGAAGGGAAGUGUGAGGUAUGUAUUGGCAGAAAGAGGAAGGAAAGUGUGAGGUAUGUAUUGGCAGAAAGAGGAAGUGAAGUGUGAGGUAUGUAUUGACAGAAAGAGGAAGGAAAGUGUGAGGUAUGUAUUGAUAGAAAGAGGAAGGGAAGUGUGAGGUAUGUAUUGAUAGAAAGAGGAGGUCUGAAGUAUGUAUUGAUAGAAAGAGGAAGGGAAGUGUGAGGUAUGUAUUGAUAGAAAGAGGAGGUGUGAUGUAUGUAUUGAUAGAAAGAGGAGGUGUGAUGUAUGUAUUGAUAGAAAGAGGAAGUGUGAGGUAUAUAUUGAUAGAAAGAGGUGUGAGGUAUGUAUUGAUAGAAAGAGGAAGUGUGAGGUAUGUAUUGAUAGAAAGAGGAAGGGAAGUGUGAGGUAUGUAUUGGCAGAAAGAGGAAGGAAAGUGUGAGGUAUGUAUUGGCAGAAAGAGGAAGGGAAGUGUGAGGUAUGUAUUGACAGAAAGAGGAAGGAAAGUGUGAGGUAUGUAUUGAUAGAAAGAGAAAGUGUGAGGUAUGUAUUGAUAUAAAGAGGAAGUGUGAGGUAUGUAUUGAUAGAAAGAGGAAGUGUGAGGUAUGUAUUGAUAGAAAGAGGAAGUGUGAGGUAUAUAUUGAUAGAAAGAGGAAGUGUGAGGUAUGUAUUGAUAGAAAGAGGAAGAGAAGUGUGAGGUAUGUAUUGAUAGAAAGAGGAAGUGUGAGGUAUGUAUUGAUAGAAAGAGGAAGAGAAGUGUGAGGUAUGUAUUGGCAGAAAGAGAAAGAAACGUAUGAGGUAUGUAUUGGCAGAAAGAGGAAGGGAAGUGUGAGGUAUGUAUUGACGGAAAGAGGAAGUGUGAGGAAUGUAUUGACAAAAAGAGGAAGGGAAGUGUGAGGUAUGUAUUGAUAGAAAGAGGAAGUGUUAGGUAUAUAUUGAUAGAAAGAAUAAGUAUGAGGUAUGUAUUGGCAGAAAGAGGAAGGGAAGUGUGAGGUAUGUAUGAAGUGUGAGGUAUGUAUUGAUAGAAAGAGGAAGUGUGAUGUAUGUAUUGACAGAAAGAGGAAGUGUGGGGAAUGUAUUGAUAGAAAGAGGAAGUGUGAGGUAUGUAUUGGCAGAAAGAGGAAGGGAAGUGUGAGGUAUGUAUGAAGUGUUAGGUAUAUAUUGAUAGAAAGAAUAAGUAUGAGGUAUGUAUUGGCAGAAAGAGGAAUGGAAGUGUGAGGUAUGUAUGAAGUGUGAGGUAUGUAUUGAUAGAAAGAGGAAGUGUGAGGUAUAUAUUGAUAGAAAGAAGAAGUAUGAGGUAUGUAUUGACAGAAAGAGGAAGGGAAGUGUGAGGUAUGUAUGAAGUGUGAUGUAUGUAUUGGCAGAAAGAGGAAGUGUGAGGUAUGUAUUGACAGAAAGAGGAAGUGUGAGGUAUGUAUUGACAGAAAGAAGAAAACACAGAGAGGGGAGGAGUCUUGGGUCAGAAAGGACAAGGUUCACUUACAGAAUUAUGACAUAAGAGA